GCGGCCUGCCCCUGGAGAAGGUGAGUAACGCUACAAUAGUCCCAAUGCUUAUCAAUGGCUCAGAGAGCAGCGCCGGGAUUGAAAGGAGUUCUGGGUGUAAUCUCCACCCACUGGAAUACCAGGCUAGCAUAUCCCUCCACUGGACCACCAGGUAUUAUACCAUCCUCUUGACAAGAGGGAAGCAGGAGGGAGGCGAUCUUCACCUCACUCUUACUGCACAUCAUGUCCUACCUCUCAUACUGUUCGCAACUCAGAGCUCCACCGAUGGAUCAGGCAGAGGAACAUAAAAAUAUACAGCACCGAUAGCCUCCUUAUACUAUGACUAUUAUAAGCUGUAGUUUUUAUGAUGCUUGAAGUUUAAAAUCAAAAAUCCUCUAAUAUACCAUAAUCAUUCUCUUGACAUGGGAUUAUUGGAAAGUUUAGAGAUUAAAAAGCUUACACUUUAAUUGCAUUCUCUGAUGGGUGUGUGGUCAAAUAUAAUUUACUGUACCUCAGUAUACUUAUUUGAUCUCUUAGAAGUAUUCUGUACUAAAAGUGAUUAGCGAUUAAAGGAUUCAAAAAGUUCAGUGUAGAUUUUACCACAUCCUCUCUUUAAAUAUCCCUGUUUAAGAAAUAGUGUAUUUUCUAUCAUUAUUUAUUAUGGGGAUUUUGAUUUCGAGAAACAUUUAUUUAUUUCGUGAACAUCAUUAACUCUGUUUGCAUGUCCUCAAUGUAACAAUGCUAUUUAUGCACCGGUUAUCUUGUUUUUUGUUGUUGUUUUUUUUUUAAUUUGACUGUUAAAAAAUUGACUUCUUAAUCUUGAGAUAAAUAAACUAAUACCAGAUUCCUCCUCAGAACAAAAAUCUCCAAAUCCCCAGGAAGUAACGGAAAAAGAAAGGGAGCAUUUAUUGAAGCAUCAUCACAGUUUAAGAAUAGAGGGGGAAGGAUUUAAUUCAUCUGAUGCGUUUUGUGGCCAUUCAACACUUCCUCAGUCUGCCUAAACCAUUAUGCUGUUUAAAUAAAGGUUCACUUUCUUUUUUCUUUACUUCCUGUAGAUUUAGACAUUUCUUUUCCUUUUGAGGUGGAAUUUGGCAUUUUUAUUUAUCUUGUGUUAAUUUUCCACCUGACUUACAGGGUGACUACUAUACGACUGCACCCUGUUGAAAAUUCCUUUCAAGCCAACCUUUUAUCUUGCCUCGGGAUAGUAAAUUUUGACUGUAGGUGCACUCUGGAUGAUUAAUUAUGAAAUGGACAUAUAAAUGCUCCUGUGAACCAAGUGCUGUUCAUUUUUAAACCCUUCCGCCAUCAAGCUGGAUGUUAUGAACUUUAAGUUAGUUUUUUUUUUUUUUUUACUCGAUAUAUGUUGAUUGCGCAUGAGUGUGUGUUUUUCAAUACAUCAUGGUUAAAAUGCAUCAAGCCCUCAAUGUAUCUGUGGGAAUCAAAACCCUUCCAUUUCAGCUGGAUUUAAAAAUAAGGUGUUUUUUUUUUGUUGCCAAGUGCUCUGUGCAUUUACUGGUAUUAUAAGAUGCACAAUAUAUGCCAGGGAAGCAGCUUGAUAUUGUAUUAUAAAACUCUUUGCGACUGUACAAAGUGAAGAUAUCACAGAUCACUGUGCAACCCUGUAAUCAUUUUUAGCUCCCCAAUUUGCAAAUGUAGUGAAUACGUCAUGUAUAUAUCAAAGACAUUCUGAUAAUUAAAUAAUCUUUACAGUAACGUAUUUAGAUAUUUAAAUGGUCAACGAGACAGAUAUAUCUAUAGAAAAGAAUAUUUAAGAAUUUUAUGAAAUUUUACACGUUUCUUUCUUAUGUGUGUUUUAUAAUAAUUCAAACUGUAUUUCAGGAGGACUCAGUUUUAAUAAUAUUGGACAAGCUUUUCAACAGAUUUAAUAUUUUUGGCUAAACUUUUCAAAUGGUUUUAUAUUUUGAAAUAUAUUUAAAGGGAUCCUAUUGUGCCAUGAAAACAAACCCGUUUUCCUGGCACUAUAGGUUUAAUAGUUCUACCCCCUUCAGCGACUUACCUUAAUCCAGCGUCGGGCUCCUUCGGCGCUGGUGACCUCUUCUCCCCCUGCCGACAUCAGCUCCCGAGAGGAGCCGAAUGCGCAUGCGCGGCCAGAGACGCAAUGCUAAAUGCUUUCCUAUGGGGAUCUUAUUUGACGCUGGACUCCGUGAGGACAUCCAGCGUCAAAAAAGUGGGAUUUAUUCAGUUUACACUGCAGGGUUAAUCCAGCCACUAGCGGCUGUAUUAACCUUGCAGUGUAAACAUAGAAGUUUCUCUGAAACUGCUAUGUUUUCAGCUUCAGGGUUAAAACUAGGGGGAUCUGGCACUCAGACCACUUCAUUGGGCCUAUAGUGGUACUUUAAUACUUAAUUUUUUGUUUUAAAACAACAGAGAUUGGUAGUCAAAGUUUCGCAAAUGUUACGUCCUACUUUAAUA